AGUAACCAAACCUGCUACUGUCAAAACAGCCACUAAGGUUUAAAAUCUAUACCAUCGCCUCUAUCAUAUAUGGCAGGGAGCCAAACCAAAUUAAUCACCAUUAUUGAUACUCCGUGAAUUAGGCAAUUGAAUCUUAUAUUAAAAGGCGGAGGGAGUAAAUUGUGCAUAGCAAACAUAACAACAUACCCAAAAAAAUUGCAUAUAAUAAAAUACACAUACACAAGCCACAAAUAAAAUCUCCUGGAAUACAUUAUAAAUAUCUGAAGAAAUUCACAAGGUUCAUAUUCAAUAUGCUUUGCAGCAGUAUAGCCCCAAGAGUUCACUACUUUAUUUGGGGAUUGAAAAGCAUCGAGGAUGAAUGAAUAAGGAUAGAUGCCCCUAUUGUAAGCUGUUAAAUAUUGAGAAUCUGAAACUUCCAAGUUCCAUCCACAUUGAGAAGCCUAAGAAUUUAUGGAGCAACAACAAAACGAGGGAGUUGAUAUAUGAAUGAUUCAACUUUAUAGAAGAAUUGCAUGAAAAUGUGGCUUCACUAUCAUAUAUGGCAGGGAGCCAAACCAAAUUAAUCACCAUUAUUGAUACUCCGUGAAUUAGGCAAUUGAAUCUUAUAUUAAAAGGCGGAGGGAGUAAAUUGUGCAUAGCAAACAUAACAACAUACCCAAAAAAAUUGCAUAUAAUAAAAUACACAUACACAAGCCACAAAUAAAAUCUCCUGGAAUACAUUAUAAAUAUCUGAAGAAAUUCACAAGGUUCAUAUUCAAUAUGCUUUGCAGCAGUAUAGCCCCAAGAGUUCACUACUUUAUUUGGGGAUUGAAAAGCAUCGAGGAUGAAUGAAUAAGGAUAGAUGCC
rnacentral:lncRNA from 1 species